CCCAACACCCGACGUUCACCGAUCCUCCAUGUAACCGCCGCCGGUCUCCCAUCGCCGUCCAGAUCAACGCUCGCCGAUCGCCUGUCCUUGUCUGGUCGUUUACCGUCCAGAAUCUGUCCACGUUGCCCUCCUUCUCGAUUCUUUCCGCUCUGCAGCAUCUCGCACAUUCUCUUCUCGGAUCACAUCGCCACAAACUUCUGUCAGGACCGACCUUGUCCGCAAGCUCUUCCUUGCGAUUCUUGGAUCGCCUUGCUCUCGUCUCAAACAUCUAGAUCGUAUUCCGAUCUUAGAUCGGAGACACUAGAGCUCCACAGGUCAAAUUAAUCCUCAUCGGAGAUUGGGGAUAGUCUUUAUACUCUUUACCUGUAUCAAAAAGUUACAUGUACAAUAACAUAUUUACCAUUUUU
rnacentral:lncRNA from 1 species